GGAGAGUGCAACAUGAUACCAGUGAACACUCACGUUUGAUCGUAGAGGGCAAGCUACAUGGAUCUUCAAGUAGCAAAAUCGUGGCAUGAGCCAUCUAUUAAUAGUACAGUCGGAACUUCAGAUGACUCUUAAGUGUACCUUUGAUUACUAUUGAGAAGUCUAUAGCUUGACCAAUUGAGUACUCACACCUCCAAACAUGUCAUCUUUCUGGGGUAGUGUAGAAACUUACUCUUAU
rnacentral:misc_RNA from 1 species